AGCGAACGCUGGCGGCAGGCUUAACACGUGCAAGUCGAACGGGCACUUCGGUGCUAGUGGCAGACGGGUGAGUAACACGUGGGAACGUGCCUUUCGGUUCGGAAUAAUCCAGGGAAACUUGGACUAAUACCGGAUACGCCCUUCGGGGGAAAGAUUUAUCGCCGAAAGAUCGGCCCGCGUCUGAUUAGCUAGUUGGUGAGGUAAAGGCUCACCGAGGCGACGAUCAGUAGCUGGUCUGAGAGGAUGAUCAGCCACAUUGGGACUGAGACACGGCCCAAACUCCUACGGGAGGCAGCAGUGGGGAAUAUUGGACAAUGGGCGCAAGCCUGAUCCAGCCAUGCCGCGUGAGUGAUGAAGGCCUUAGGGUUGUAAAGCUCUUUUGUCCGGGAAGAUAAUGACUGUACCGGAAGAAUAAGCCCCGGCUAACUUCGUGCCAGCAGCCGCCGUAA
rnacentral:rRNA from 1 species